GGAUCAGUCAGACACUUCUGAGGAAGUUGGAGAGCACUGUGUUUCAAAGGGAAUGAAAAUCCAUUGUUUUUUGUAAAGGCACCCCUUUGUUUCUGAUGCCAGGAUGUCAGCGGAGGCCCGUCUUAUUCAUGCCCAUUGGUGGAAGAUGUCCCGCUUUGUGCCUAACAGGCUGAUGAAGUAAAUAAAGACUUUGAGAAACCAAAGAUAUCAGUGAAGCGUGAUUUUGCUACUUGCUACUGCUGAAUGGAGGGUUGCACUGACUCACAUUUCGAGUGGUUGUCACAGAGCGCUGCUGCCCUCAUGUCACACAGACGUAUGGAGCCUUUACUGCUACUGUAGACGAAGGUGUUGCAGUGGUGAGGGUGAAACUCUGCUGCCGUUAUCACCUCCGUCAACUCCUCCAUGUUCCACAGGUUGAUCCUUAAGUCAUCGGUGGACAUGAAGGUCUCGUAGUCACUGUUGACAGAUAUGGAGUUGAUGUGGUACGUGUGCGCAUUGGAAAACACUCUCCGAGGUGCAGCCUCAACCAUGAGGUCCAUGGGCCGCAGUACUGGCACCUAAAGAAAUGAAAAGACAGAAAAAAAAGGUGGUGAUAAUACAAGCAUGCUGACCCGUAACGUGGUGAUGGUGGCUGGGUCUCUGAUUCUUCCAUCUUCAUCCUUCAGCUAUUGUAUGAGACCUGACACCAUUGAACAUUCUGCUAAACUUCAUACGUGGCAGAAAGAAAGUCAUACAGGUUUGACAUGAAGCCUGCGGGAGAGAAACAUGGAGCAAGAGUAACCUUGGACCUCAAUUACGCCUCUGAGGAUGUCUGCAGUGGGGAAAUACCACCAUCAUCUACUGCAUCACGUGGGCAAGGCAGUAUGGUAUCGGAUUACUCCGCAGACUACGGCAGGCCUGGCGCCAACAGAGAUGUUGCUGGGAUGGAAACCGAAAUCUCACCUGGAUUUGCUACAUCCUGAUGCUGGGGAGAAAGUGAGAGUCCAGUAAGAGAUGCAGAAAGCUUGGCUUAAGCGAGAGAACAGAGUUUUGGGGAAGGUAAGACUGUCUUUGUCAUGAAUUUCACCAGCGGUCAGGGCAGGUUACCUGGAGCCAUUGUGAAAAAAAGUGGUCCCCACUCAUGUGUAGUGAUGGAAGUGAUGUCCAUCAUCAUCAGGAGGAUCAUGUGAGGAGCCAUCAAGUGGCAGAGCAGUGGAGUUGUCUCAAUCAAGGGAGGGGCUGGAAAAAUGGAGAGUUCUGAGUUAGAAGAAAGGCGGGUUCCUCAACAACUGUUCUCUGAGCUCUGAGGUAACAGCAGAAUGUGUACCAACCUCCCCUGGUGAAACUUCAGAGACUUUAAGGAGAUCAGAAUGCCAAAAGAAAGCACCAAAUAGGCUUAAUCUUUAGAUCAUAUACCCAUUUUCCACCAAGGUAGUUUGAGUACUGGUUCGGAGCCAGAGCCUAGUUUCAAAUCAGUUCUUUGUCUUUCGACACACAAAGCUCCAGCUCCGAACCAGGAAAAGUGGUUCAUAAGUAGCACCAAAACAUUGCUGGGCUGGAAGUAAGAACUGCUUGCAUCAGGGGCUGGGGCGGGGUUACCGUGACCAACAAGAACCUUGUGACCGCCGUAUUUGAAAUAGCAGCUAAUCGAGCUAAUAGCAGCUCAGUUGUAAUCUCUAUCUAUAUACAAAUUACGGCGAGCCGUGUUUGGAUGCUGAUGUAGGUUCGCAAAACCAUGAGCAUCAAUAGUAGCGAAACAUCCGGCAUUGUUGAUGGAAGGCUUGUUCGAGUUGCAUCGGAGCGCGGGAGAGUUUGUAGAGCAUACGACUCCUUGUACUUUUGUAUCGUUCUCGCAGUACUUUGAUGUCAUGUGCCGAUCGCUCUGCGAGAAGCCGAUGCAUCUAGAACAAGCUUGGUGUGUUUGCCGCUGCAGCGCUAGCUUUGCUGUGAAAUAUGAGACGUAUACAGUGACGUAAAACAUGGCUCUGUGCUGGCUCUCUAGCCUGUGGAAAGGCAAACCGGUUCUUAGAAGGCUCGUCAGUUGAAUCAACUCCAAACUGGCACUAGCACUAGCUCUGAACUAGCACAUGGUUCGUGCUGGUGGGAAGGGGGUAUUAGUGGGGAUCACAGUUAAAUAGCAUGUACUAGGAUGCUGAGAAAAAGUGAAAGUUCUGAUUGGACUGUGCGGGGUUGGUAACGCUGAUUCUCAAGGGGGAGAGAUGUUAUGAUAAUUGGUUAUGGUAAAAGAAAAGUUCUAUUUUAUGUUAUGCUGCCACUUUAAGAGUGUGCAUGUGCAUUGUGAAGAGAACAAGUUGCUGUAUGCUGCUCUGGGUUGUUAUGCAAAAGAGACACAAAAAAGUAAAGUUUUCUCAGUUCUGUUAAGCACUGCAUGACCUCAAUUUAUUACAAACUGUUUUCUAUUUGAAUAUAUUGUCAAAUUUAAUUUAUUCCUGUGAUCAAAGCUGAAUUUUCAGCAUCAUUACCCCAGUCAACAGUGUCACAUGAUCCUUCA